CCACCAACAUCAAAUAUCACCAAUUUCUCGCACCCCCGUUAACCCUCUACCCAUACUGAACAACCCCAUAAACUAUGGGAGCUAUCCUGUUUGAACUAGUAAUAAGAAUCUGAAAUUCUCCCAAAUGUAAGCAUAAGCCGCCUAUCGGACACCCCAACGGCAAUUAAAGUGAAUGAACUCGUUGCAAUAACUAUCAUAAAAAAAUUUGCAAUAUCAGACGUUAACCUAACACAAGAACAUCACGGGAAAGAUUAAAAAAGAAAGAAGGAACUCGGCAAACCUUGAACCCCGCCUGUUUACCAAAAACAUCGCCUCUUGAUAAAUUAUAAGAGGUCCAGCCUGCCCAAUGACUAAUUAAAUGGCCGCGGUACCCUAACCGUGCGAAGGUAGCAUAAUAACUUGUCCUUUAAUUGGGGACUAGUAUGAAUGGCAUCACGAGGGUUAAACUGUCUCCUUUCUUUAAUCAAUGAAACUGACCUUCCCGUGAAAAGGCGGGAAUUCAUAUACAAGACGAGAAGACCCCAUGGAGCUUCAGACCUAAGGCACAUUUACUCCCUAAUUUCACAAAAUCUAAAAUUCCUGACCCCAAGUCUUAGGUUGGGGCGACCAUGGAGUAUAACCUAACCUCCACUUCGAACGGACACAAUCCUUAUCUAAGAACCACAUUUCUAAGAAUCAAAAAACUGACGCCCACUGACCCAAAAAUUUGAUCAUCGAACCAAGUUACCCUGGGGAUAACAGCGCUAUCUACCUCGAGAGCCCAUAUCGACAGGUGGGUUUACGACCUCGAUGUUGGAUCAGGGUAUCCAUGUGGUGCAGCCGCUACAUAAGG
rnacentral:rRNA from 1 species